AAAAAGAUAAGCUAAUUAAGCUAAUGGGUUCAUACCUCAUUUAUGAAAGUUUCAAUCUUUCUCUUUUUA
rnacentral:tRNA from 1 species